rnacentral:SRP_RNA from 1 species
GCCGAGCACGGUGGCACGUGCCUAUAGUCCCAGCUAUCCGGGAGGCUGAGGCUGGUGGAUCGCUUGAGCCCAGGAGUUCUGGGCUGUAGUGCGCUAUGCCUAUCGGGUGUCCGCACUAUGUUCAGCAUCAAUAUGGUGAUCUCCCAGGAGCAGGGGACCACCAGGUUGCCUAAGGAAGGGUGAACUGGCCCAGGUUGGAAAUGGAGCAGGUCAAAACUCCGUGCUGAUCUGUAGUGGGAUCGCACCUGUGAAUAGCCACUGCACUCCAGCCUGGGCAACAUAGCGAGACCCCAUCUCU